AGAAACCAACAGGGAUUGCCCUAGUAACGGCGAGUGAAGCGGCAACAGCUCAAAUUUGAAAUCUGGCCCUCGGGUCCGAAUUGUAAUUUGUAGAGGAUGUUUUUGGUGCGGUAUCUUCCGAGUUCCUUGGAACAGGACGCCUUAGAGGGUGAGAGCCCCGUACGGUUGAAUGCCUAGCCUUUGUAAAACUCCUUCGACGAGUCGAGUAGUUUGGGAAUGCUGCUCUAAAUGGGAGGUAAAUUUCUUCUAAAGCUAAAUACCGGCCAGAGACCGAUAGCGCACAAGUAGAGUGAUCGAAAGAUGAAAAGCACUUUGAAAAGAGGGUUAAAUAGCACGUGAAAUUGUUGAAAGGGAAGGAUUCAUGACCAGACUUUUUCUAGGCGAAUCAUCCGGUGUUCUCACCGGUGCACUUCGUUUAGUUUAGGCCAGCAUCGAUUUUCGGGGUGGGAUAAAAGCUUUAGGAAUGUGGCUCCCUCGGGAGUGUUAUAGCCUAUUGUAUAAUACCGCCCUGGGGAUCGAGGUACGCGCUUCUGCAAGGAUGCUGGCGUAAUGGUUAUCAAUCACCCGUCUUGAAACACGGACCAAGGAGUCGAACAUUUGUGCAAGUGUUUGGGUGUUAAACCCUCACGCGUAAUGAAAGUGAACGGAGGUGAGAGCCCUUACGGGUGCAUCAUCGACCGAUCCUGAUGUCUUCGGAUGGAUUUGAGUAAGAGCAUAACUGUUCGGACCCGAAAGAUGGUGAACUAUGCGUGGAUAGGGUGAAGCCAGAGGAAACUCUGGUGGAGGCUCGCAGCGGUUCUGACGUGCAAAUCGAUCGUCAAAUCUGCGCAUGGGGGCGAAAGACUAAUCGAAC
rnacentral:rRNA from 1 species